ensembl:lncRNA
GGAAAGGUCGUGACAGGGUGAGUCGAUGUCUGAAGGGCAGCAGCACGUGAACCGGCCACGCGCUAUCAGCACAGAGAGCUCAGGUGGAAUCCCUCCGGAGCUGCAGCAGGGCAGUGCUGGAGUGCGGAGGUGACCCAGAGCCGGAGCUGAGGGCUGACCCGGGGAGCUGCAGGCUCUGAGCUGGUUGUGUAGGAGGGUGCUGUGCUGCCUCCUGCAUCUCAUGCUCAUCCUGCAGACAAACCUCCGCCUCGAUGGCUGCUGCUGUUUUCUUCCUGGUUGCCGGAAGACGUGUUCCCACAGGCCUAGCUGGGUUUUUGUGCUUCAUGCCUUAAUUGCUUCAUCCUUAUCUGGAAAUGAAUUUGGAGAAGUACAGCUAAAACAAACACCCAGUCUUGUUCUUGGAAACACCAAUGUCUGUUUGCCAGACGUGUCUGUGACCUUCCAGGUUAAUGAGCAACGCUCUGAGGCAAUGUGGGGUUGCGCCUCUCCCCUGGUUGGGCACCAAAGGGGAAGUCAGGUAGGUGGAGGCCUGGAAAAUGCCAUGGGGAAUGGGUUCAGCUCAGGGUGAGCAGGGUCUCUGGAUGAUGGGCAGGUGUAGGGCCAUCUCUACGGGCGUUCUUUCACAUUCAAAGCCUCAGGCCAACAGUAAGUUUUAAAAUAAACAAUAGAUCUAAUUUGCUGCCUCAGGAAGCGUCAGUCAAGCGAAGUUACGUUUGCAGUGUAGUGUGAUAGAUCGACCUUAUGGGUUUAUUUCAGAAUUUUAAAGCUGUGGGUCCAUAUCUGGAUUAAACAGUCCCAGCAAAUGGGUUUUAUCUCAGUACACCACAGUGGAUUCAGGCAAGUAGGGUGGAUUUGGCUUGUAACUGCUUAACCACUGCAGUUCUGCUUGUGGAUGGUUUGUUUCAUUGUGUUUUUCAAGAGAGUGGUUCUUCCCAGGCUGCAGGAAAGCACCACUUCUGGUAUGUGGGUUAAUGAAGGGCUCGGUAAGACCCAGGGAGCUCUUCUGGUAGCAGUCAAGUGCUCCUUCUAUGUUAAUUAUCACCGUGUUUCUCAGCAAAGGUAAGGAAAGCAAAGUUCUUCAGCCGGUGCUGCUUUAUUGUCACCACGCUCCAAAUGCACGUUGGUGAAAUUCCUGAUUAUUUCCACGCUUCAGCUGAUGGUCCACAAGUGGUCACCUGCAGUCAUCGUUCAUCUUUUUUCAGUUGGAGAUGCUGCAAAUGCCAGAGAUGAGAUGAGGGGAAACACAUCAAGGCUUUCUUUGCUUCCUGCCUUUGAGCCUGUGAUGGGUUUCUGUGGGUCUGAAGUCCUGCUGUAAGAGCUCGCAGCAGCUGGAAGUGUAAUGCACUGCAGCUCGGUGCCUCCUGAGGCACUCGGGCACAGCCUGGAGGAGUUUAAUGGCACUGAGGAUGGUUUUACCAACGCAUGAACCAACAUGGGCUGAGAGAGCAACUCACAAUACCUUCCUGCAACAGAGAAAGUCCAGUUUCCAUAAUAAAUAAUGAGGAGGCGUUACUUCUGGAGCAACCUGUCUAUUCCUCAGUCAUCGAAGGUGCUGAAAAGCAGAUAAGGCUGCACGCUUGCCUCCUCGUCAGCCACCCCACAGUACUGCUGGUUACACCGCUGGUGAAUGCUAACGUCAAACUGAUUUGCUCCCAAGAAGCCACUGCUGCGUGCUCCUGCAGGGAUGCUGCGGGCUGCCCCCCGCUCUCUGCUGUGCUUUGUGUGCUCCACGGGUGUUCUCUCCCUGAAGCAGUGGUUACGUGGGAUUUGGGGCUCCCUUUCCAACCCCUCCUGCGAAAGGAGAGCACAGGGCCAAAAGGUUUCUCUGUCCUCCCACUUCUGCAGUUCUCCCUGAAGCAUUUCUGCCUUCACAUAUGUGACUUCCACGGUCAGCGAGGGAAAUUGGAGACCUGCUGGGCAGAUAUUGGUAUUCAAGAAACAACAGAGGAGUCAUCACGUUGCUGUGAAAAUACACAAGAUGUGUUGUCAGCAAUAGCUGCAGUGAUUGCUCGGUGGUGUCCAGAACCAGAGAGAAGGAAAGAUCUUCAGACCAAGGGUGGCACAUGGACCUUCCUGGGGAGAUCUGAAUGGUAUCACAGCGCAAACAGCUUUUGUUCGGGUAGCCGUAGUUCAGGCUGAGGCACAGCUGCCCCAAAAUAGAGCCCAGACAGACAACGCCGAGGAUGGCUCGAGGCUUUGGGAGGACAUGGCAGAGGGAACCUUACCCUGUGUGGGGCACACAGAGCCUCGCCGAUGCUACACCUGCGCAGGAAGGAUAGGGGUGAUUUCCAAAUCAAUGUACCGGUGCUCAUUUUUUGUUUGUUUGUUUGAUUUUUGUUUUCAAAACCUGUGCAGGGCUGCUGGGUUGAUGUCACCACCGCUUUGUCUGGCUUUGGCCUGAGGGGCAGGAGGGAGUCUGGUCACCCCCGUAAUCCCAGCAGCCUCCAAUGGCAACGACAGCGCUCGGAUGAAUGAAGGCAGCAGCACUGUGCAAAUUACCUUUUCUUUCUUAUCCACAGUAAGACAGAUAAUAAUCCUCCUACGGGACUAAUUACAGCCAAUGAAAAUAACUCCCACUGCCAGUAUUUGAAGGAUAACCACUUAGAUGAAAAAGAGUGAAAAAUGAUUAUUAUUUUGUGCGUGGCUCUCUCUCGCCCCAUCUAUUCUGACCUCAGUAAAUCACAGUGUAAUUAAUCACUGAGGAUUAAACACCGCAGGGAAAAGAGUAGGAAAUUAUGUAUAAGCAAAACUUGAAAUGACUUUGACUUACCAUAAAUUUGGGUUAUCUGUCUCACAGAAUACAAUUCCUAGGCUGCCUCUUAUGGAAUAAAUCUAUCCCGACCUGUGUCCAUGAGAACUGUAUGAAUAGUGAAGACUGGAGUAUCGCUGGGUGUGUAAGAAACUAAUCAAAAAAGGCAGUGACUGUGGAAGAUGUGGGUUGGCUCUUCGGGCAUUCCAGCAGCAGAAAAAUGCACAGAGAUCCCUCAGCAGACAGGGUAGGACUUAAGUGCUCAUCUUUAAAGGUGGAAACCAGCCUCAGAG